UCUAGUAAUAUGAAUUUUUUUUUUUUCUGUGUUGGUGUUGUGUACUCAGGUGAAUAAUAUGUUUGCGCUGUUACUCUGAGUGCAUAUCCACACCGGGCGACCUUCAAAAAUAUGCCCGGCCACGGUAGGAUUCGAACCUACGCCCUUUGGAAUACUAGCCCAAUGCUCUUCCAACUGAGCUACGCGGUCAGGACGGUUCGAGUAAGUGAUAUUUCGGAACAGUAUCUAGUUCCUUCAAUACCAAGGUGUUCUUGUAAUAUGAAUAUUUUUUUCUGUGCUGGUGUUGUGUACUCAGGUGAAUAAUAUGUUUGUGAUGUUACUCUGAGUGCAUAUCCACACCGGGCGAGCUUGAAAAACAUGCCCGGCCACGGUGGGAUUCGAACCUACGACCUUUGGAAUACUAGCCCAAUGCUCUUCCAACUGAGCUAUGCGGUCAGGACGGUUCGAGUAAGUGAUAUUUCGCAACAGUAUCUAGUUCCUUCAAUACCAAUAUGUUCUAGUAAUAUGAAUUUUUUUUUUUCUGUGUUGGUGUUGUGUACUCAGGUGAAUAAUAUGUUUGCGCUGUUACUCUGAGUGCAUAUC